CCUACGGGAUGCAGCAGUGGGGAAUAUUGGACAAUGGGCGAAAGCCUGAUCCAGCCAUGCCGCGUGUGUGAAGAAGGCCUUCGGGUUGUAAAGCACUUUCAGUGGGGAAGAAAGCCUUGGGGCUAAUACCCUCGAGGAAGGACAUCACCCACAGAAGAAGCACCGGCUAACUCCGUGCCAGCAGCCGCGGUAAUACGGAGGGUGCGAGCGUUAAUCGGAAUUACUGGGCGUAAAGCGCGCGUAGGCGGUCUGAUAAGCCGGUUGUGAAAGCCCCGGGCUCAACCUGGGAACGGCAUCCGGAACUGUCAGGUUAGAGUGCAGGAGAGGAAGGUAGAAUUCCCGGUGUAGCGGUGAAAUGCGUAGAGAUCGGGAGGAAUACCAGUGGCGAAGGCGGCCUUCUGGACUGACACUGACGCUGAGGUGCGAAAGCGUGGGUAGCAAACAGGAUUAGAUACCCGAGUAGUC
rnacentral:rRNA from 1 species